rnacentral:rRNA from 1 species
UACGUAGGGGCUAGCGUUAUCCGGAAUUACUGGGCGUAAAGGGUGCGUAGGCGGUCUUUCAAGCCAGAAGUGAAAGGCUACGGCUCAACCGUAGUAAGCUUUUGGAACUGUAAGACUUGAGUGCAGGAAAGGAGAGUGGAAUUCCUAGUGUAGCGGUGAAAUGCGUAGAUAUUAGGAGGAACACCAGUAGCGAAGGCGGCUCUCUGGACUGUAACUGAUGCUGAGGCACGAAAGCGUGGGGAGCAAACAGGAUUAGAUACCCGCGUAGUCCCUGA